rnacentral:rRNA from 1 species
UGGGGAAUAUUGGMCAAUGGGGGCAACCUUGAUCCAGCCAUGCCGGCGUGUGUGAAGAAGGCCUUCGGGUUGUAAAGCACUUUCAGUGGUGAGGAAGGGUGUGUUGUUAAUAGCAGCAUACAUUGACGUUANCCACAGAAGAAGCACCGGCUAACUCCGUGCCAGCAGCCGCGGUAAUACGGAGGGUGCGAGCGUUAAUCGGAAUUACUGGGCGUAAAGCGCACGUAGGCGGUUUGUUAAGCAAGAUGUGAAAGCCCCGGGCUCAACCUGGGAAUAGCAUUUUGAACUGGCAAGCUAGAGUUUUGAAGAGGGUGGUAGAAUUUCCUGUGUAGCGGUGAAAUGCGUAGAUAUAGGAAGGAAUACCAGUGGCGAAGGCGGCCACCUGGUCAAAAACUGACSCUGAGGAGCGAAAGCGUGGGGAGCAAACAGGAUUAGAUACCCUGGUAGUCCACGCUGUAAACGAUGUCAACUAGUUGUUCGUUUCAUAAAUGAAGUGAGUAACGCAGCUAACGCACUAAUUUGACCGCCGGGGAGUACGGCCCGCAAGGUUA